GAUGAACGCUGGCGGCGUGCCUAAUACAUGCAAGUCGAGCGAACAGACGAGGAGCUUGCUCCUCUGACGUUAGCGGCGGACGGGUGAGUAACACGUGGAUAACCUACCUAUAAGACUGGGAUAACUUCGGGAAACCGGAGCUAAUACCGGAUAAUAUAUUGAACCGCAUGGUUCAAUAGUGAAAGACGGUUUUGCUGUCACUUAUAGAUGGAUCCGCGCCGCAUUAGCUAGUUGGUAAGGUAACGGCUUACCAAGGCGACGAUGCGUAGCCGACCUGAGAGGGUGAUCGGCCACACUGGAACUGAGACACGGUCCAGACUCCUACGGGAGGCAGCAGUAGGUAAUCUUCCGCAAUGGGCGAAAGCCUGACGGAGCAACGCCGCGUGAGUGAUGAAGGUCUUCGGAUCGUAAAACUCUGUUAUUAGGGAAGAACAAAUGUGUAAGUAACUAUGCACGUCUUGACGGUACCUAAUCAGAAAGCCACGGCUAACUACGUG
rnacentral:rRNA from 1 species